GACGAACGCUGGCGGCGUGCUUAACACAUGCAAGUCGAGCGGUAAGGCCCUUUCGGGGGUACACGAGCGGCGAACGGGUGAGUAACACGUGGGUGACCUGCCCUCAGCUCUGGGAUAAGCCUGGGAAACUAGGGUCUAAUACUGGAUAUGACUCCACGGUGCAUGUCGUGGGGUGGAAAGCCUUGUGCGGCUGAGGAUGGGCCCGCGGCCUAUCAGCUUGUUGGUGGGGUGAUGGCCUACCAAGGCGACGACGGGUAGCCGGCCUGAGAGGGCGGACCGGCCACACUGGGACUGAGACACGGCCCAGACUCCUACGGGAGGC
rnacentral:rRNA from 1 species